rnacentral:rRNA from 1 species
AACGAACGCUGGCGGCAGGCCUAACACAUGCAAGUCGAGCGAAGCCUUCGGGCUUAGCGGCGGACGGGUGAGUAACGCGUGGGAACGUGCCCUUUGCUACGGAAUAGCCCCGGGAAACGGGGCGUAAGACCGUAUGUGCCGUUCGGGGGAAAGAUUUAUGGGCAAAGGAUCGGCCCGCGUUGGAUUAGGUUGCUGGUGGGGUAAUGGCCUACCAAGCCGACGAUCCAUAGCUGGUUUGAGAGGAUGGUCCGCCACACUGGGACUGAGACACGGCCCAGACUCCUACGGGAGGCAGCAGUGGGGAAUCUUAGACAAUGGGGGAAACCCUGAUCUAGCCAUGCCGCGUGAUCGAUGAAGGCCUUAGGGUUGUAAAGAUCUUUCUGUGGGGAAGAUAAUGACUGUACCCACAGAAGAAGCCCCGGCUAACUCCGUGCCAGCCGCCGCCGUAACAC